rnacentral:rRNA from 1 species
GACGAACGCUGGCGGCGUGCUUAACACAUGCAAGUCGAACGGAAAGGCCCUGCUUUUGUGGGGUGCUCGAUUGGCGAACGGGUGAGUAACACGUGAGUAACCUGCCCUUGACUUUGGGAUAACUUCAGGAAACUGGGGCUCAUACCGGAUAUGAGCUCCUGCUGCAUGGUGGGGGUUGGAAAGUUUCGGCGGUUGGGGCUGGUUUGGCUGGUUAUCAGCUUGAUGGUGGGGUAGUGGCUUACCAAGGCUUUGACGGGUAGCCGGCCUGGGAGGUUGACCGGGCACCUUAGGACUGAGAGAGGGCCCAGACGCCUACGGGACGCAGUGGUGGGGAAUAUGGCACAGUGGGGCGACGUCUGAUGCAGCAACGCCGGGUGCGGGAAGACGGGCUUCGGGUGAUAAACCGAUUUGGCAGGUGAUGAGGAGUGAGUGACGGUAAUGGGUAAAGAAGCAACGGCUAACUACGUG